UGGGAAGGGCUAGUUACCUGAGAGGAAGGUACCUGAAGUAGAGCACUGUUGGGGAAGGGCAAGCAGAGCUGGGGAGCUCCAGCCUGGUAAACCUCCAGGCUGCAGGCCUUGGUGAAGGCCUAUAAAGUGGCCCCAGAUGACAGGACACCAGGACCAUCAAUCAAGAGAUAUUUGGGGUUUCUUUAGCGCUUGUCAUAGUCUCAGUGUCAGCAAGUGCUCUACAAAGUCACGAGUCAGACACCAGCAGCAACUGUGCAAGGCAAUAUAGCAACUGUACUGCACUCAGCAGCCCUCACACACAGACUGGGGCAGCGUAAGGGGAUGCCAUCAGCUCUAUAAGUAAUAAGCCCUUCCAUCAUGACAGCUUAUUAGAGAUGGGCAGAAACUGACUCCUCGCUGAAGAAUAGAAGUCAAAGCAAUAACCCACCAGUGUAAUGGAGCUAUCGCGCAGUAUCCAGAUUACCUCCAGAAUCUCCUCCUGACUACGGCUGCAAACAUAAUACCAGUCAUGGAUCAGGGAACAGACAAGUUUGUAACCCAAGAGAUUCAACCUCUUGCAAUAUGGAGUGACCCUGGGGGCAGAGCCUCAGAGGAGUUUGGAGAUGGGCCUGAAUGUUCCUGCUUGGCUAAGUUGCUUUCCCUUUGCCUCCAAGUUUUCUUUCCUUUUCUACUUUAUACACAAAUUCAGGACAUAACCCAGAGAGAGACAGAGAGGCUCUCAGUCAGCCCAGAACAGUCAUCACACUCUCAUGGCCAGUGGGAAAGUCAACUGGUGGUUCUCAGUCUAGUGUCCAGAUGUCUACAGUACCAACUGCCCCCAUUUUGUGACCUAUUGCCCCUCUUGGUGGGUAUCGCUGCACCAUAGCAUGGAAUCUGAACUCCCUCACAUUCCAAGAGGUCCACAUCUUGGGUGACAAGGGAGAGACAAUAGAAAGGGGGAGUGAAGGAAGCUUGCCUUGCUGUUGGUUGUGAUGGUCUUGUCCUGGGGACAUCAGUGUCUGGCACCAGACUGUGCACACACUUAUGAAGCAUACGAUUUUGAAUUGAAAGAGACUUAGGAUCAACUUGCUCAUUCCCUUCUGAUGCAGCCUGAUUUCCUCUACAGUGUGGUUGGACAGGCACGUGUAAACAGGAAUCUGGGAGUGAAAACCUGUGAAGAACAGGUUUCCUUUGACCUUUCAAGGAAUCUAACCCCUCUGCCUGCUCUGUUACCUCACAAUAAUAUAUUGUACAAAAUGUGUGGUUUUUUUUUUUUUAAAAGGAAAUACAUUAGAAUGGGUGAGUCCACAGAAGCCAUGGAAAGAAAUGGGGGCUGCUGUCCUUGGUUCUGAACUAGAUGGGACAUGGAACAGUACUGAGGAGACACGGGAUGAUUAUUCACUAACCCUGAGCUUUUGCCGAGCCUCAUGGAGCCCAGAGGAUAGUAUUCUACAGAACUUCCCCAGACUCUGACAAGUAACUUUUAUUAGGUUUUUCUAAAGAUAACCCAUAUGUUUUUCCAGAGGGCUUCUACAGAAAAUGUUCUAUAACAAAGUUACAAUUUGCUGCAGGUUUCAGACUCUUCAGCAGAGGAAGCCACUGGACUCAGUCCAUGUGAGAAUCUGAGGAGACUAUCACCUAAAGGGCUGAUUUCCUUUGGAAAGAAAAGACAACUCCCUUUACUUUUCACUAAGAUUAGUUCUCAAGACAGUGCGUCUUGGUUGCCUCCUGGUACCCUCUCACCAAGGCACUUUCUUGCCUGUGGAAUUAGUCCUCUGACCUGCCCACAGAAUCCCAGAUGGGAAUCACACUAGGGCAUUAUGCAGUCAUAGCAGCAUCUUCUCCAGGACAACCUGCUUCCUGUGUUGUGGGACUGGCACUGCAGCCAGUAGUCAGUGUUAAGAACCCAGUGAAAACCUGUUCAGUUCUCCCUCUUGGGGCCAGUCUCACAACCCAAGAACAAAAAGACAAUGGAAUUAAAGGGCAGCAGGUUCAGUGCAAUGAAGAGGCUAGGGGGGGAUGUAAAAUAGUGAAUGUACUGCAUUACAUGAGUCAUUCCAGCUUCCUCUAAAGCUUCAGGGACUGGCCAUGCCCAGGGCAAGAUACUAGAAUUACUGGACCAAUUAUCUGGUGUGAAACUCUUAACACUUGCUCUUGAUGGGACCUAAUCUUCAGUGUACAUCAAGCAUCACCUUGGAUUUUAAUUUCCUUCCUUUGCUUUAAUUGUGUAGUACCCAUGCUA